UACAGAGGUCUCGAGCGUUAGGCGGAAUCACUGGGCUUAAAGCGUGUGUAGGCGGAUGAGCACGUCUGUCGCUGAAAUCCCCCGGCUCAACCGGGGAACGGGCGCGGAUACGGCUCGUCUCGAGGGGCGUAGGGGGACCUGGAACUUCCGGUGGAGCGGUGAAAUGCGUUGAGAUCGGAAGGAACGCCCGUGGCGAAAGCGAGGUCCUGGACGCCUACUGACGCUGAGACGCGAAAGCGUGGGGAGCAAACAGG
rnacentral:rRNA from 1 species